UUUUUAAUGUCCAUUUUGGUAAAUUGUAGGCUAUUUUCUAUUCUUAUAAGAACUUUUGUUGGGAACUGUUUGAUGAGCAAAUUAAAUCAUCUUACAUUGUGAAAACCAUUAGUGAGAUUCUGUGUCACCUUCACAGUCUCAUCUCCGGGAACUGGAGCAAGAAGCCCAUUGUGUUGCAGGAGAGCACUUUCUUAUAACAAGUAGUAAUCAGCUCCGAGAGAUCCUCUUUGGCAAGCUAAAGCUACACCUGCUGAGUCCCAGGGAGACUCUUCCCAGAACAGGGCUGCAGAGACUUCCAUCCACGUCAGAAGCCGUGUUAAGUGCUGUGCAGGACCUUCAUCCAUUACCCAAGAUAAUUUUGGAAUAUAGACGGCAGUAGCCCUGGCAGCGUUCUGAGGGGAACAGAGCUUGUUCAAGCCGGCCUGGUUCCAGCGCUGCUCUCGUGCACCCCGCUCGGCACCGAGCCAGAGGGUCCCACGGCGACGAGGACGGAUGAAGGUUCACAAGACCAAAUCAGCCUUUGUGGAUGGAUGACUAGCUUGCAUGAGAAAGGUGACUGAGCUAAACGAGAUCCUGUGCCCAGGAAUGUGGUUUCCGCGUGGCAUCAGAUACAUGUACAAUUCCCUGAAAUUUUAGUUAACGAUGAAAUCACCAAAUAUUCUUGAGCUGUGAGCCAUGAUUUUUUUUUUUUUUGAAGAUUUUAUUUAUUUAUUUGAGAGAGAGAGAAUGAGAGGGGGGAGGGUCAGAGGGAGAAGCAGACCCCCUGCCGAGCAGGGAGCCCGAUGCGGGACUUGAUCCCGGGACUCCAGGAUCAUGACCUGAGCCGAAGGCAGUCGCUUAACCAACUGAGCCACCCAGGCGCCUGAGCCAUGAUUUUGUUAUUACUUGGGUCUCUUUAUAGCCUGAGUGGUCAUCAUGCCUUCGGACCUGGAGCUGCACGUAUGCCGAAGCCCUGGGCUUCCCCAGGCACUGUGACACCUGUCACUGAGCCUCUUCCCGUGCCCAUUGCAGGGAAGGAGGAGGAGCCUGCAGGCAGGGGUAUUCCAUCUGGGCCCCUGUCUUGGCUGCACAGCCCCGCCUGGAGUCCAUGCUGAGCCCCUGUGGCACAUGGUCCUCCUCUCCCCGUGCUCAGGGGCUUGAAGGGACCUGAAGGCCCACAUGUCCUGUUGCAGUUUUUGCAUGGGUUAGGGGAACCUCCUUGUUGGUCAGCAGUUGGCUGACACCCAGAGACCUUUCAGGGUUGGGGGCUUCGGGCCAGCAGCUUGUGGACGUCUGCAGGAGAGCAGUGAGUGUGUGCUGUGUGCAGGGAGACUAAGGGUCACUGUGCUCUUGACUUCACGUGCCAUUGCCAGCGCUGAAACUGAUUCUUCUUAACUGAUAAAGGGCUCCAUUUCCUCUACGUGGAAUCAGACUGGAACUGUGACUGGAAGACUUUCAGCCAGGCAUCCGGUAAGUUAGCGCCCCUUGGUAGACGCCAGUUUCUGUGCCUCAGAGUUGAGUUUUUGCCUAUAUGUGUGUUUGCCUGUGCACUUUCUGUUUCUAAGAGAGGGCCCCAUGUAGAUAGAUGUGUUUUACUCUGUUUAUCCACUCAGCUAAUACCCACUUAGCACCUGCUGUGUUUUAGGAACAUAGUGGGGGAAUAAGACACAUGGUCCCUGCCGUCAUGAUGUGUUGAGUUAGUGAGGGGUCCUUUCCAUCCAGAGAGUCAUGUGUGCUGGGGCUGAGGGCAAAAGGGACACCCCCUUCCCACUUCCCCUUCCUCGUCUUCAGAUUUGUACUGGACAGGAAGCUUCUGAGGUCCAGAGAUGUGUUGAAAUGUCUGAUGCUCUGAUGACCUCCUCCAUUUCUUUGUUGUUGUUCCAGACUGUCUCUGAUGAAAAAAGCUAUAAAUACCCUUGAAUUUAUGAUGCAGCUUUAAUAACACUCAAAGCAAUUAGCUUUUUAAAUGGCUUUAUAUUUUUGAAUUAAAGAUGAUUCAUUACUAAUUUUUCAUCGCAGAACAGUCCCUUAAGUACAGAAAUGUAAAAACAAACAAACAAAAACUAAUAAGUCACUUAUUAUUCCACCAUGCAGUAUUAACUGUGGUUAACAUUUUGGUGUCUAUCCUUAUUGACUUUUUGCCAAGUACAUAUAUUUAUAAAAUACUGUUUUUCUACCAAAAUAAAACCUCACUUUUAUACUUCUCAAUUUUGUUUAUGAUGUCUUGAUAUCAUACAUUAAUAUUGACCUGAAUCUAUAUUUAGAUUUGAACAUUUGAAUUAUUUAAACAUAUGAAUUGAAUACAUUAAUUAUUUAAAUAUGCACUGUAAAAAUAUAUACAUAUGAGUAUAUAUUUGUGAUAAAUUCAAAUAGUGUGGACAUGGGUGGAAAAAAACUUCAGUGCCCUUUCCUUUCCCUUCACGACACGUCUGUCUACCCCGUGGGUCCCCUGUCACUGGUCUGAACUGCAUCCUGCCAGCCUUCAUCUGGCCUUUACGUGUGUGGGUGCCCAGUGCUCACAGCUGGUGGUCAUGUGGGGCUGGGUGGGCUCACACCUGCAGGAGCCGCAGCCCUGCUCAGGGCCCUACGCUCUCUGGACGUCGCACCCACCUUAGGAAGGCCUUUCUCUGGACACCCCACUUUAGAGAGCUCUUCUGCGGUCUUUACCACAAGCAGCACUAAGACUAGUGCCUCCUCUGAAGGCAAGUGCCUGCUGCACCUUUUCUCUUAGCUGCUGCUUCUCAUCAAAGAGUAAUUUAUGAGUUCUACUGGGAAAACGCACUGGUUUUUUUUAUUUGUUUGUUUGUUUUUUCAAAGAGCGAGAGAGGGAACACAAGCAGGGGGAGUGGGAGGGGGAGAAGCAGGCUUCCCGCCGAGCAGGGAGCC